UUUCCGCCAGUUUUCCUCACACACACAAGACAUAGGUCUUGGCCUACUGUACCCUGUGUUCCCACUUACCCUCUGCCAGAUUGUCAUCGUCACCAUACUGUAAAUAACUGUAAUUAUCCUAAUUUCCCAAGACCUUCAUAUACAGGAGCUGCAGCAAAUGCUCGAUGCAGUUGGGGAGGAUGUUGCCGGAGGCUCCGCAGAAGCCUCAUCCUCUUCAUCUCAAACAUGGAGCGUACGUCAGGCAUUAUCGGGAGAAAGAUGGCGAAAUGCUAGACCUCAGCUUCUUGAAGCCAUGCUGGAAGCAGGAAGGGUCCCGAAGGGCUUUUGCCAACUGUGCCAUGUUAAAGAGGCAGUCAUUAGCUGCACUGACUGCCUGCCGAAACACAUGUUGUGCUCUCAGUGCGACAUCACUGUACAUCGGCAAUACAGUUUGCAUAACCGAUCUUCGGUUGUCGGGAGCAGUCACAGAGCCCUUCCUCCAACGGAUAUCUUUGUCCAUGAUGCGAGUGGUGAGCCAACACUGGGCGAAGAAGUACGUCUCCUUCCAUUUGCGUUGCCCAAAAGCAUUUGCAGCUGUAAGGCUGAAAAUGUGUCAGUCAGUGGUGGGCAAAAAAUUAUCUUGGUCAACAUGAAUGGUCGCUAUGAUCUCUGUUCCACUGCUGACAUGUGAAAGUUGCAAAUGCAAAUGGACACCACAGAUUAAGGACCUUGUAUUAAAUGGUUACUGGCCUGGGACAAUUGAUUUCCAGACAGUGUUUGCUAUUGAGGUUUUCUCUUCAUUUGAAGACCUUAAAAUCUGUGCUCCUGGUCUGAGUAAACAUGCAUUUGUCCGACUGUUGGAAAGUCGCUCAGUUCGUGCUGGCAGGGUUGGCACAGUUUCGUCCGAAAAUCUCCAGAAGAGUUUUUUGGAGUGGACAUAUUGCCGGCACGAGAUUGAGUUACUUCUAGGCGAUGACCAUUUCUCCUGUCCUGCUUGUGGAGAUGAUAUGGUGGCAGUGUCUCUGGAUGGCAACAGGAAAAUGUACCGCUUCAAUCGCAAGGGGUAGCAAGAUAGUAAA